rnacentral:rRNA from 1 species
AAUGAACGUUGGCGGCAUGGAUUAGGCAUGCAAGUCGAGCGCGAUCUUCAAGAUUGAAACUUCGGUCGAUUUCUUGUUGGGAAAGCGGCGAAAGGGAGAGUAACGAGUAGUUACAUGCCCUAGGGUCCGGAAUAGCUGCGGGAAACUGCAGGUAAUGCCGGAUAAUAUCUACGGAUCAAAGGUGUGAUUCCGCCCUAGGAGUGGACUGCUUCCUACUAGCUUGUUGGUGGGGUAAUGGCCUACCAAGGCAAUGAUGGGUAGCGGGCGUGAGAGCGUGGCCCGUCUCACUGGGACUGAGACACUGCCCAGACACCUACGGGUGGCUGCAGUCGAGAAUCUUCGGCAAUGGACGAAAGUCUGACCGAGCAAUGCCGCGUGCGGGAUGAAGGCCU